AUUGAACGCUGGCGGCAUGCUUUACACAUGCAAGUCGAACGGUAACAGGCCGCAGGUUGCUGCCGUGUGGCCAACGUGUGAGUAAUGCAUCGGAACGUGCCCAGUCGUCUGGGAUAACUACUCGAAAAAUUAGCUCAUACCGCAUUCGAUCUUUGGAUGAAAGCGGGGGAGCGUAAGGCCUCGCGCCAUUUGGGCGUCCGAUGUCCGAUUAGGUAGUUGGUGGGGUAAAGGCUCACCAAGCCAACGAUCUGUAGCUGGUCUGAGAGUACGACCAGCCACACUGGGACUGAGACACGGCCCAGACUCCUACGGGAGGCAGCAGUGGGGAAUUUUGGACAAUGGGCGCAAGCCUGAUGCAGCAAUGCCGCGUGCAGGAAGAAGGCCUUCGGGUUGUAAACUGCUUUUGUACGGAACGAAACGACUAUGGUUAAUACCCGGGGCUAAUGACGGUACCGUAAGAAUAAGCACCGGCUAACUACGUG
rnacentral:rRNA from 1 species